AACGAACGCUGGCGGCAUGCCUAACACAUGCAAGUCGAACGAGACCUUCGGGUCUAGUGGCGCACGGGUGCGUAACGCGUGGGAACCUGCCCUUAGGUUCGGAAUAACUCCCCGAAAGGGGUGCUAAUACCGGAUAAUGUCUUCGGACCAAAGAUUUAUCGCCUUUGGAUGGGCCCGCGUUGGAUUAGCUAGUUGGUAGGGUAAAAGCCUACCAAGGCGACGAUCCAUAGCUGGUCUGAGAGGAUGAUCAGCCACACUGGGACUGAGACACGGCCCAGACUCCUACGGGAGGCAGCAGUGGGGAAUAUUAGACAAUGGGCGAAAGCCUGAUCCAGCAAUGCCGCGUGAGUGAUGAAGGCCUUAGGGUUGUAAAGCUCUUUUACCCGGGAUGAUAAUGACAGUACCGGGAGAAUAAGCUCCGGCUAACUCCGU
rnacentral:rRNA from 1 species